UCGUGUUGUGAAAUGUUGGGUUAAGUCCCGCAACGAGCGCAACCCUUAUCCUUUGUUGCCAGCGGUCCGGCCGGGAACUCAAAGGAGACUGCCAGUGAUAAACUGGAGGAAGGUGGGGAUGACGUCAAGUCAUCAUGGCCCUUACGACCAGGGCUACACACGUGCUACAAUGGCGCAUACAAAGAGAAGCGACCUCGCGAGAGCAAGCGGACCUCAUAAAGUGCGUCGUAGUCCGGAUUGGAGUCUGCAACUCGACUCCAUGAAGUCGGAAUCGCUAGUAAUCGUGGAUCAGAAUGCCACGGUGAAUACGUUCCCGGGCCUUGUACACACCGCCCGUCACACCAUGGGAGUGGGUUGCAAAAGAAGUAGGUAGCUUAACCUUCGGGAGGGCGCUUACCACUUUGUGAUUCAUGACUGGGGUGAAGUCGUAACAAGGUAACCGUAGGGGAACCUGCGGUUGGAUCAC
rnacentral:rRNA from 1 species